ACUUAAAUUGAAGAGUUUGAUCAUGGCUCAGAUUGAACGCUGGCGGCAGGCCUAACACAUGCAAGUCGAACGGUAGCACAGAGGAGCUUGCUCCUUGGGUGACGAGUGGCGGACGGGUGAGUAAUGUCUGGGAAACUGCCCGAUGGAGGGGGAUAACUACUGGAAACGGUAGCUAAUACCGCAUAA
rnacentral:rRNA from 1 species